rnacentral:rRNA from 1 species
UCCGUAGGUGAACCUGCGGAAGGAUCAUUCAUAAUAAGUGUUCUACUGCACUUUUUAAAAAUAGUACUCACCUUGUGUGCAAUGUUGUGUGAGCUUGUCUAGUACAAGUUCGCACCUACACCAACCUAUAAUUUUGAACCACUUUGUCUGAAAAACUAUUAUGAAUACUUAAUUCAAAAUACAACUUUCAACAACGGAUCUCUUGGCUCUCGCAUCGAUGAAGAACGCAGCGAAAUGCGAUACGUAAUGUGAAUUGCGGAAUUCAGUGAAUCAUCGAAUCUUUGAACGCACAUUGCACUCUCUGGUAUUCCGGAGAGUAUGCUUGUUUGAGUAUCAGUAAACACCUCAAAUCUCUACAUUCGUGUUGAGAAUUGGACUUGAGCAAUCCCAACUCUUUGCAAAAAGGGGCGGGUUGCUUGAAAUGCAGGUGCAGCUGGACAUUCUUCUGAGCUAAAAGCAUAUUUAUUUAGUCCCGUCAAACGGAUUAUUACUUUUGCUCUAGCUAACAUAAAGGUCGAAUGAACUAUACGCUGACUGAUGCAGGAUUACCAAGUUUCCGUCAAAAGAAACUUGUAAACUCGAUCUCAAAUCAAGUAAGACUACCCGCUGAACUUAAGCAUAUCAAUAAGCGGAGGAA